rnacentral:rRNA from 1 species
GACGAACGUUGGCGGCGUGCCUAAUACAUGCAAGUCAACUGAAAUACCGGUAGCAAUACUGGUAUGGAGGUGGCGCACGGGUGAGUAACACGUAGGUAAUCUGCCUUCAGGUCUGACAUAACCCAUCGAAAGGUGAGCUAAUAUCAGAUGAUGCAGCGGCUUGACAUCAAGACAGUUGUUAAAGCUUCGGCGCCUGAAGAUGAGCCUGCGUCUGAUUAGCUAGUUGGCGGGGUAACGGCCCACCAAGGCUGCGAUCAGUAGCUGGUCUGAGAGGAUGAUCAGUCACACUGGAACU